rnacentral:rRNA from 1 species
ACGCUCGACACCUACGGGAAGCAGCAGUGGGGAAUAUUGCACAAUGGAGGAAACUCUGAUGCAGCGAUGCCGCGUGAGGGAAGAAGGUUUUCGGAUUGUAAACCUCUGUCUUUGGGGACGAUAAUGACGGUACCCAAGGAGGAAGCUCCGGCUAACUACGUGUCAGCAGCCGCGGUAAUCUGAGCGGGCUGGCAAGGC